rnacentral:ncRNA from 1 species
GACCCGAACCUAGGUGAUCUUGGGUGAAACUAAGUGUAGGUCCGAACCGACUGAUGUUGAAGAAUCAGCGGAUGAGUUGUGGUUAGGGGUGAAAUGCCACUCGAACCCAGAGCUACCUGG